rnacentral:rRNA from 1 species
AUUGAACGCUGGCGGCAGGCCUAACACAUGCAAGUCGAGCGGCUGAAGGGGGUUUGCUCUUGGGUCCAGCGGCGGACGGGUGAGUAAUGCCUAGGAAUCUGCCUAGUAGUGGGGGAUAACGUCCGGAAACGGGCGCUAAUACCGCAUACGACCUGAGGGAGAAAGCGGGGGAUCUUCGGACCUCACGCUAUCAGAUGAGCCUAUGUCAGAUUAGCUAGUUGGUGGGGUAAAGGCCUACCAAGGCGACGAUCCGUAACUGGUCUGAGAGGAUGAACAGGCACCACGGGACUGGGAAACGGGCCCGGCCCCUACGGGGGGGCAGCGGUGGGAAAUUUUGGACAAUGGGGGAAAGCCUAUCCAAGCAAGGCGGGGGGGGUGAAGAAGGUCUUCGGUUGGUAAAGCAUUUUAGGGUGGGAGAAAAGGAAGUUAGUUAAUACCUUGCUGUAUGACCGUUCCCAAAAGAAUAGGCACGGCCUACUUCCGU